GAUGAACGCUAGCGGCAGGCUUAAUACAUGCAAGUCGAGGGGCAGCGGGAGUAGCAAUACUUGCCGGCGACCGGCGCACGGGUGCGUAACACGUAUGUAAUCUGCUCAUCACAGGAGGAUAGCCCGGAGAAAUUCGGAUUAAUACUCCAUAAUAAAUUGAGUGGCAUCACUUGAUUUUGAAAGUUCCGACGGUGAUGGAUGAACAUGCGACUGAUUAGUUCGUUGGUGAGGUAACGGCUCACCAAGACCACGAUCAGUAGGGGUACUGAGAGGUUAAACCCCCACACUGGUACUGAGACACGGACCAGACUCCUACGGGAGGCAGCAGUAAGGAAUAUUGGACAAUGGCCGCAAGGCUGAUCCAGCCAUACCGCGUGCAGGAAGACGGACCUAUGGUUUGUAAACUGCUUUUGAACUAGAGAAAACCCCUUUACGUGUAAAGGGCUGAUAGUAUAGUUAGAAUAAGCAUCGGCUAACUUCGUGCCAGCCGCCGCAGUAACAC
rnacentral:rRNA from 1 species